UACAGAGGUCUCAAGCGUUGUUCGGAUUUAUUGGGCGUAAAGGGUGCGUAGGCGGCGCGGUAAGUCGGGUGUGAAAUCUCAGAGCUCAACUCUGAAAUGGCACUUGAUACUGCUCUGCUAGAGGACUGGAGAGGAGAUUGGAAUUCACGGUGUAGCAGUGAAAUGCGUAGAUAUCGUGAGGAAGACCGGUGGCGAAGGCGGAUCUCUGGACAUUUCCUGACGCUGAGGCUCGAAGGCCAGGGGAGCAAACGGG
rnacentral:rRNA from 1 species